AUACGGAAGGUCCGGGCGUUAUCCGGAUUUAUUGGGUUUAAAGGGAGCGCAGGCGGGAGAUUAAGUCGGCGGUGAAAUUUUGCAGCUCAACUGUAAAAGUGCCUUCGAAACUGGUUUCCUUGAGUGUAGAUGAAGUAGGCGGAAUUUGUGGUGUAGCGGUGAAAUGCAUAGAUAUGACGAAGAACACCGAUUGCGUAGGCAGCUGACCAGAUCGCAAAUGACGCUCAUGCACGAAAGUGCGGGGAUCGAACAGGAUUAGAUACCCUGGUAGUCCGCACAGUAAACGAUGAAUACUUGUUUUCGGCGAUAUAAUGUCGGAGGCAAAGCGAAAGCGAUAAGUAUUCCACCUGGGGAGUACGCCGGCAACGGUGAAACUCAAAUGAAUUGACGGGG
rnacentral:rRNA from 1 species